CAGCCGCCGCGGUAAUACCGGCGGCCCGAGUGGCGGUCACUCUUAUUGGGCUUAAAGCGUCCGUAGCCGGGUUGGGAAGGCCUCCGGGAAAUCUGGCCGCUUAACGGUCAGAAUGCCGGAGGAUACUCCCAGCCUAGGGAGCGGGGGAGGCCGAGGGGAUUCCCGGAGUAGGGGGGAAAUCCUAUAAUCCCGGGAGGACCACCUGUGGCGAAGGCGCUCGGCUGGAACGCGUCCGACGGGGAGGGACGAAGGCCAGGGGAGCAAACCGGAUUAGAUACCCGGGUAGUCCUGGCUGUAAACGAUGCGGACUUUGUGUCGGACAAGCUAUGAGCUUGUCCGGUGCCGGAGGGAAACCGUUAAGUCCGCCGCCUGGGGAGUACGGCCGCAAGGCUGAAACUUAAAGGAAUUGGCGGG
rnacentral:rRNA from 1 species